rnacentral:RNase_P_RNA from 1 species
GGAGUCGGCCAGACAGUCGCGUCAUCGGCCCAUUUCGAUGGGUGGAUGCCGAGGAAAGUCCGGGCUCCACAGGGCACGGUGCCAGGUAAUGCCUGGGCGGCGCGAGCCGACGGAAAGUGCAACAGAAAGAUACCGCCUAUGUCGGAGCAAUCCGGCAGGCAAGGGUGAAAUGGUGCGGUAAGAGCGCACCGCGAGCCUGGCAACAGGCCGGCACGGCAAACCCCACCGGGAGCAAGGCCAAAUAGGGACCUAAUGACGUUGCCCGCGUCGGGUCCGGGUAGGUUGCUUGAGCGUAUCGGUGACGAUGCGCCUAGAGGAAUGACUGUCCACGACAGAACCCGGCUUAUCGGCCGGCUCCGCCA